GUUCAUUGAAAAUUACUCCUGGCAUUGGCCUUUACGGUUAUGUGGAGGUUAAGAUUUGCUGCUCAGAACCAAUAGAGGCCUCACAUCACCACCUGCUAUCCCAGAGGGCUGGGGAAAGUGAAACCCAGGCCAUGAGCUAG